CCUACGGGAGGCAGCAGUGAGGAAUCUUGGUCAAUGGACGAGAGUCUGAACCAGCCAAGUAGCGUGAAGGAUGACUGCCCUAUGGGUUGUACACUUCUUUUAUAUGGGAAUAAAAUGUUCCACGUGUGGGUUUUUGUAUUUACCAUAUGAAUAAGGAUCGGCUAACUCCGUGCCAGCCGCGGCGGUAAUACGGAGGGUCCGAGCGUUAUCCGGAUUUAUUGGGUUUAAAGGGAGCGCAGGUGGGUUGUUAAGUCAGUUGUGAAAGUUUGCGGCUCAACCGGAAAAGUGCAGUUGAAACUGGCAGUCUUGAGUACAGUAGAGGUGGGCGGAAUUCGUGGUGUAGCGGUGAAAUGCUUAGAUAUCACGAAGAACUCCGAUUGCGAAGGCAGUUCACUGGACUGCAACUGACACUGAGGCUCGAAAGUGUGGGUAUCAAACAGGAUUAGAUACCCUUGUAGUC
rnacentral:rRNA from 1 species